GCGGGCGACGGCCCGACCUCCAAAGCGAGCUUAUGCUUUCCACCACGCUUGAGACGGGACGGACACCGCCGACACCUUUGAGGCGAGUCCCCUACUGGGACUGCUGGCCCAACACCAAGCAGAGCUUGAGGGGUGAAAUGACGCUCGAACAGGCAUGCCCCUCAGAAUACCAAGGGGCGCAAUAUGCGUUCAAAGAUUCGAUGAUUCGCUGAAUUCUGCAAUUCACAUUACUUAUCGCAUUUCGCUGCGUUCUUCAUCGAUGCUGAGGAACACCAAC
rnacentral:misc_RNA from 1 species